CACAGGGAAAGCUAGAAGAUGGUGUCCACAUCUCAACUCCUUGGACUUCUGUUCUUCUGGAUUUCAGCCUCCAGAGGUGACAUUGUGCUGACUCAGUCUCCAGCCACCCUGUCAGUGACUCCAGGGGAAAGAGUCACCAUGACCUGCAAGGCCAGCCAGGGUAUUGGCACAAACUUACACUGGUAUCAGCAAAAACCAAAUGAGACUCCAAGGCUUCUCAUCAAGUAUGCUUCCCAGUCAGUCUCUGGGAUCCCCUCCAGGUUCAGUGGCAGUGGGUCAGGGACAGAUUUCACCCUCAACAUCAACACUGUGGAGCCUGAAGAUGUUGCAACUUAUUACUGUCAACAGAGUAGCAGCUUACCUCCCACAGUGAUACAGACCAUAGCAAAAACUACCAGGAAAGCAGAAGUGUGA